AAGGCCUGGGAGCGCAUGCGCAGCCCUGCGCCCCUAGGCUCAGGGCGCAGGCGCGGCCCUCCUGGGAAGCGACCGCGGGUAGUAGGGGGCGGCCGCGCGCACGCAGGGGGCGUGGCUGCGCGACGUGUUCCGGCUCUGAGCGCAGCGCCAGUCCGAACGGGUGUAGCCACCUUCUGCCCUGCGGGUGGCACUUGGACUCUGACUCCGGGAGGGGACCGGUCCGCAGUCUCCAGCCGCAGAUCCGUAGACCCUCUUCACAGACGCUUCGCGCAGCCUCAGAGGCGGGAUCAAGCAGUGGAGCGGCUGCCUAUGGUCUCCCCAUUAAGGGUGCCUGCACCCCCAGCCAGUAUGGCAGCCUCCCCACUCCCACCGCCGGACCCCCAGUUUGUCCUCCGCGGUACCCAGUCGGCGGUGCAUGCGCUGCAUUUCUUCGGAGGAGCCCAAGAACAGGGAUGCCCACUCCUCCUCUCAGGGUCCCUGAGUGGGCUGGUGCACAUUUGGAGCCUGCAGACGCGGAGGGCAGUUGCAACCCUGGAUGGCCACGGGGGCCAGUGUGUGACCUGGCUGCAGACACUGCCCCAAGGGCACCAGCUGCUCAGUCAGGGCCGGGACCUGAAGCUGCACCUGUGGGACCUGGCAGAGGGCAGGAACACCGUCGUGGACUCUGUGGCCCUGGAGAGCAUGGGCUUUUGCAGGAGCUCUGUCCUCGCUGGGACUCAGGAGCGCUGGAUGCUGGCUAUGCCGGGGAGAGGUAGUGACGAGGUUCAGAUUCUGGAGAUGCCAUCCAAGACGUCAGUGUGCACCCUGAAGCUGGAGGCAGAUGCCAAGCCAGGCAUGCCCAUGUGCCUGGAGCUGUGGCAGGCUGACUCUAAUCCCCGCCCACUCCUCCUGGCCGGCUAUGAGGACGGAUCGGUGGCCCUGUGGGACGUCUCUGAGCGGAAGGUGUGCAGCCGCGUCGCCUGCCACACGGAGCCCGUCAUGGGCUUUGACUUUGACUCCCAGAAGACCAGGGGCGUCUCGGGCUCCGCGGAGAAGGCGCUGGCUGUCUGGAGCCUGGAUGAGCAGCAGGCCCUGCAGGUGUGCAGAACUCAUGAACUCACGAAUCCUGGGAUCGCUGAUGUCAAGAUCCGGCCAGACCGCAAGAUCCUGGCCACUGCGGGCUGGGACCACCGGGUCCGAGUGUUUCACUGGCGGACGAUGAAGCCACUGGCUAUACUACGCUUCCACAGUGCCACCGUCCACUGUGUGGCCUUUGCCGCAGAUGGCUUGCUGGCCGCAGGAUCUGGGGAUCAGCGGAUCAGCAUCUGGUCUCUCUACCCGACCCACAGUGACAUGUCUGCUCCAUUGUUGGGCCACGCAGAGGGCAGGGAGGUGGGUGCCCAUGCUGUGGCCUGACCCAGGCGUGUGGAACCUCAGGACCCCUGCAACAGCCAGCCGCAGUUACCCUCCUCCAGUUACAAGAAGUGGGACGGCGUCAGGCCGCCAUGCCUUUGGGAAAUACGCAGACCAGGCUUGGUGUGUGACAGGGGGGCGAGCCCUGGGAAGCCAGACGGGGCGCUCUGACACUGAGGCUUCACUGAUGAAGGGCUUGCUGAGGCGCAGUGUCCCGGGAGACCUUGGCAUGCCCGCUCGGCCGGCUGGCUUGGUGCUGACGUGCCGUGCAUGUCUUUACGCUCCCGAGUGAGUGAUGUUCAAUCAGGUGUUACCCACCUGUGUCUGUGCCAAGAAGCCACAGAACACCCUCUGCACAAAAGGACUGUUUGCACAAAGAAAAAACAUUCCUUCAGGGGGUUCUUUAGAAAUGCUUGAUACUCAACUAGCUAGAACUUCAUGGCAAAGCCUGGUUUCAAAGACGAGCUGGCACAGACGGGAACCUUACAGCUGAGCUGGUUGUGCACCUGUGCUUCGGGGCGACUCCUCCCCCAGUCUGUGGCUCAAGAGCGGGGGAGGGUGGCAGUGCUGUGGGGGGAACCCCCCGCAUCCCCACAUCUGGCCCACUCCUAUCCCUCAGCAUCACCAAGCUCACUCCUGCCUCGACUCAGCUCCCCCUGGGGCCAAGCUCUCCAGCUUGGGAGCCCGGCGAGAAGGAAGCACCUGGGCCAGACAGAGUGGAGCAAGAGGCUGAGAGCCAGGCAGCGGCUGGUGAGUGGAGCAGACAUACGCCCAACCCGCCCAGAGACAUGCCCCCCAAGUACAGGACUGUCAGUUCUGCAGAGGCAGUCCUAAACCUGAGCUUAAGGAAUCCCUGCGGGAAAAAAAAUCUGAGCAAGCAGGAGAUGGAGCCCCAGACCGGAGGAAGUAGGGCUCAGCUGAGAAAAGGUGCUCAGGGCCUGCCGAGGAAAUGCUUUGGCCUCCAUCCCUGCCAGGAGUGGGCCCAGAGCUGCUCCACCCGUCCACCCAGCACCCACGGUGGGCUCUCAGAUCUCGGAGCAGGUUCAGUAAAGUAUAUCCCAUGUGCCACCAAUAGACACCCUUGGGCCUCAACCUCUGGGACCUCGGGCCCAAAGAGCCAGGAGUAUUCAUGGGUGCUGGCCCCUAGGGGCAGAUGUGGGGAAUCUUGUUACUGCCGCCAAACCAGGAGGCAUUCAGAGGGGCCAAGAGCAGUGCUGAGGGCCAAGGGGCCUUGCACACGGGCCUGGGAUGCGUCAGGCAGCAAGACUAUGGUCACCGUCAUCUAUUCAAACACACAAGAUUCUGAUGGGCGAAGAAGUCUCAUUGACACUCAAAUGGUACAAGGUAACAGGAAGUAGACCAGAAAAGUAUUGUAAUAGUGAAGUAGGCCAAGCGUGCCUGAAGAUUGCUAUGGGCUGCAUGUCUGUGUCCUCCCAGAAGUUCAUAGGUUGAGACCUAACCCCGCAGGUGAUGGUACUAGGAUGGGGCCUCUAGAAGGUGCUUAGGUUACGGGGUGGAGCCUUUGUGAAUGGGAUUAGCGCCUUAUAAAAGAGACCCCAGGAGCCCCCUUGCCCUUCCACCACAUGAGGAUCCAGGAAUUGGGCUCUCACCAGACACUGGCUCUGCCUUAAUCUUGGACGUCUAGUCUCCAGAACAGUGAGAAAUGAAUUUCUGUUACUCAUAAGCCACCCGUCUGUGGUAUUUUGUUAGAGCAGCCUGAACGGACUGAGACAAGAUGCUGUGUUUAAAGAUUUUUUUAAAAUUUAUUUGACAGAUCACAAGUAGGCAGAGAGGCAGUCAGAGAGAGAGAGAGGGAAAUAGGCUGCCUGCUGAGCAGAGAGCCCGAUGUGGGCCUCGGUCUCAGGACCCUGAGAUCAUGACCUGAGCUGAGGCAGAGGCUUAACCCACUGAGCCACCCUGGCGCCCCAAGGUGCUGUAAUUUAUUGUGUGUGUGUGUGUGUGGUUUUUUUUUUUUUUUUUUUUUAGGAUGUGGAAUGCUAGUGGGGGGGCCUGGGGACCCGCUCAGCGGUCAAGCAUCCAACUCUUGAUUUCAAAUCAAGCCAUGAUCUCUGGGUUGUGAGAUCAGACCCUGCAUCAGGCUCUGCACUGGGCAUGGAACCUUCUUAAGAUUCUCUCUCCCUCUGCCCCUCCCUGCCUCUUAAAAAAAAAAAAAAAAAUGGAGGGGCACCUGGUCAUGAUCCCACGGUCCUGGGAUGGAGCCCAGUAUCCAGCUCUCUGCUCAGCGGGGAGCCUGCUUCCUCUUCUCUCUCUGCCUGCUUCUCUGCCUACUUGUGAUCUCUGUCUGUCAAAUAAAUAAAUAAAAUCUUAAAAAAAAAAGUGGAAUGUUAGAAACCAAGUCAUUUGGUUUCAUCCUAUUGCAAUGAUCUGUCGCGGCAUUAAUAAACCAGCCCAAACUUAGCAGUGUAUAGUAGCCUUCCAUGCAUGUGGCAUCCAGGGGUCAGGAAGCUGGGAAGCUUGGUGGGCCGGCGGAGCCUGGGGAGGGCUAGACACAGCAGGCACUAUCGACGGGAGCACCUUUGCGUGGCCUCUCAGCAUGACGGUCUCAGGAGAAUCAGGCUUUUUACAACAGCCCUCCAAGAGCUCAUCCAACAAACCAGCAGGCCAUGGUAUCAGAAAAGGGACACGGACCCCACUGGGUGAGGGAGGAAAGUCCAAAUAUUUUCAUCCUUUACAAAAUAAGGCUCAUCCUUGUUUUUCUCUGUGUAGCAAGAAAGAGCACAGAAAACUGAGGCCCCAGGACUUGGGGGAAGGAGCCUGGGGCAGGACCUGGGCCUCUUGCCAUGGCCAGGAGGGAGCAACCAGCCACAGACUCCCUCCAGUCCUGCACAGGGCUCCCCAAAUUUGCAAGGUGUGAUGAGAUGCUCACGAAGAAGCUUAUUCAUCCUGACACACCAGGCCCUAUUUCCAAAUAAAGGGACAGCAGAUCUGGACCUCCCAUCCACAUGAAAGCCAAAGAAUCCUUCAUCUCAGGGAAUAUGAGAGACGGGGUUCUGAUCAAGAGUGAUGGAGAAGAGUUGUCACCGAGUAGGCCAGGGUCGGCCAGCCUUACUCAGUGACUGCGUUGGGCCCUCCUGCAGUGCCCAGCCCAGAGCUGAGCUGCCUGCUGGCCUCGUAGGUAGUCUGAGCCGUCGGGGUGCUGAGAACACACCUAAGCAAAAAUAAGCAGCAGCCCAGGGAGAAAUGAAACAGAUCAGCACUUUUAGUAUCAGCUUUAGUGAAUCUCAUAUCGUGUGUAUGCGUGUGUGUGUCUUUCCUAAGAUGUUAAGAUAUUUUCAGAUCCCUACGUUAGGCUUGUCAUUCUUGUUAAAUAUUUAGAAGUGUUUUUAUUGCAUUUGCAACCAGUGUUUAAAUGUCGGGAGGAUUUUAUUCUAUUAUAGCCUUACAUUUUGCUGUAUCAACCAAGUUUAGGUGCGGCUAUUGUGAGAAUUCUUUAUUCUGCAACAUAACAAUUUAUAAAUCUUGAGAAUUUAUCAAA